rnacentral:lncRNA from 1 species
GAAGAAGUAUGCCAACUUUGGCACCUUUUUUGCCUGUCGUUAGGGCAAACUAACAUAGGCAUGACAAAGUAUCAAAAUGCCGCCAUUUAAAAUAUAUCUAUACGCCUCAGCUGGAUUCCUCCUCCUCCUCCUUCUCCUUCUUCUUCUUCUUUCUGUCAAUGAAAUCUCAGAUGGCAUCUUAAACUAAAUGGGCAAAUGGUUUAAGGAGGGAUGUCAAUAAGCUAGAUUGGGCCUAGGCCUGCAGCAAGCU